AAAAUGUACCGGGGCUAAACAUAUUACCGAAGCUGUGGAUUGUCCUUUGGACAAUGGUAGGAGAGCGUUCUAAGGGCGUUGAAGCAUGAUCGUAAGGACAUGUGGAGCGCUUAGAAGUGAGAAUGCCGGUGUGAGUAGCGAAAGACGGGUGAGAAUCCCGUCCACCGAUUGACUAAGGUUUCCAGAGGAAGGCUCGUCCGCUCUGGGUUAGUCGGGUCCUAAGCUGAGGCCGACAGGCGUAGGCGAUGGAUAACAGGUUGAUAUUCCUGUACCACCUAUAAUCGUUUUAAUCGAUGGGGGGACGCAGUAGGAUAGGCGAAGCGUGCGAUUGGAUUGCACGUCUAAGCAGUAAGGCUGAGUAUUAGGCAAAUCCGGUACUC
rnacentral:rRNA from 1 species